GGAUGCGGAGGUGACCUGGCUGGGACAGUUGUCACUCCAUUGAUUGCCAGGGUUGAUUCAGCUGAUCUGGCUGGCUAGACAGAUGUCCCCUUCCUCCCUCACUGCUCCAUGUGCGUCCCUCCAGAAGCUGCCUGCUGGGUUGAAGAGGACGAACUUCCCUGAAUAGAGACAGACUGGUCUUCAGUUGAGGGUAUACCAGUAGCUGCGCUCCCCUGCUAGAACCUUCAAACAAGCUCUCAAGGAAGUGGUAAGCCUAUUAGCUUACUUUAAAAAAGAGUGACCAAGAGAUAGUUUAUCAGGUAGGGCACACAAAUUACCAGGCUGGAAGCUCCAGAUUUG
rnacentral:snRNA from 1 species